rnacentral:rRNA from 1 species
UGCGUAGGCGGAUUAAUAAGUCAGUGGUGAAAACCUUCAGCUUAACUGGAGAACUGCCAUUGAUACUGUUAGUCUUGAGUACGGUCAAGGUAGGCGGAAUGUGUAAUGUAGCGGUGAAAUGCUUAGAUAUUACACAGAACACCGAUUGCGAGGGCAGCUUACUGGGCCAUUACUGACGCUGAUGCACGAAAGCGUGGGGAGCGAACAGGAUUAGAUACCCUGGUAGUCC